rnacentral:rRNA from 1 species
UACGAGGGGGGCAAGCGUUGUUCGGAAUUAUUGGGCGUAAAGGGCGCGUAGGCGGCUUGGCAAGUGGAUGGUGAAAUCCCUCGGCUUAACCGAGGAACUGCCGUCCAAACUGCUUCGCUUGAGACCGGGAGAGGUGAGUGGAAUUCCCAGUGUAGCGGUGAAAUGCGUAGAUAUUGGGAGGAACACCAGUGGCGAAGGCGGCUCACUGGACCGGUACUGACGCUGAUGCGCGAAAGCGUGGGGAGCAAACGGG